rnacentral:precursor_RNA from 10 species
ACCAGUCGAAGUUUCAUUUGUUAUCAAGUCUAAAAGGUUCAGAUGCUAGGACAAUUAUGUUGGCAAGCGUUCUAUCUUCUGAACCUUUUGGACUUUAUGACCAGUUUUAUCUGCGACUAUAG